ACUUUUUUAUUAUAAAUUAUUAUAUUUGAUUUCCAAUCAAAAGAUCUUAAAUUAAAGAAAAAGUA
rnacentral:tRNA from 1 species